AUACGGAGGACGCGAGCGUUAUCCGGAUUCAUUGGGUUUAAAGGGUGCGCAGGCGGCCGUGCAAGUCAGCGGUGAAAGCCCGGGGCUCAACCCCGGAAGUGCCGUUGAUACUGCAUGGCUUGAAUGCGGUCGAGGCGGGCGGGACGUGGCGUGUAGCGGGGAAAUGCGUGGAUAUGCCACAGAAAGCCGAUAGCGGAGGCAGCUCGCCGGCCUGCAUUGACGCUCGGGCACGAAAGCGUGGGGAUCGAACAGGAUUAGAUACCCUGGUAGUCCACGCCGUAAACGAUGGGCGCUCGUCGUCGGCGGCAGACAGUCGGCGGCCAAGCGAAAGCGAUAAGCGCCCCACCUGGGGAGUACGGUCGCAAGGCUGAAACUCAAAGGAAUUGGCGGGG
rnacentral:rRNA from 1 species